CAUCUAAAAAAAAUUUCAGCAUCUGCAAGUCUCUAUGUCCACCUAAAAUGCUUUUCAGCACCCGUUUAUAAUUUUCUCUGCAAGUAAAACUGUUAUACAAGGCCAUAGAAAAACAGUCAUGUCAAUGAUUUCCAAUUGUGUGGUUUCUUAUUAACCUAAUGAAAUUUCCUUUCUCCACAUACUUUACAGACCUCCAGCAUAUUUUACUCCUCUUUUUUUUAAAUGCUGAGGCACAGCUCUACACUCCCUUGUUUUUUAACAUGCUAGAUGAUCUGAACAUACUGAACCUUGUUUGAAAGACCAGUUAUGCCAUGCAAUUCGGUCAUGCCUUCCAUGCUGUCUUUAAGGCAUAGCAUAAUGCUGAGUGCUGGAAUAAAGCUGUCUUUGAAUUAAGACAAAGGAAUAUAGCAUUUUCUCAACAAAAAAAAUACCCUCCAGAAAUCCAGUAUUUUCAUAUACAAAUCAUUCUCAACAUGCUUAUCAGGAUUUUGAAAGUCCUUUUGAAUGAGGCCCAUAGUCUGCAAAGUCACUGGGUGGUGGAAUGGAGAGUUUGCCCCUGGUGUGCCUGAAAUACAGGAUGAAGAAGUUACUUCACUCCCACUGCUAAUCGGGGACCCUGCCUACUCACUGCAUCUCUGGUAUAUGAAGCCUUUCACUGGGUGCCUGGAUGCUCACAAGGAUUUAUUUAACUACCAGCUUAGCAACCGGAAGAAUGGGUGUGGAGUGUGCUUUCAGGUACCUCAAGGCUUGCUGGAGGUGCCUGAGGACAUGCAUGGCAGCCAGCAACUACAAUGAGCCCUGGUUUGUGGUCCUUGCAUUUGUUCUGUGCAAUGUCUGUGAGGCCAAGGGGGAGACCCUGCCAAACAGUGCAAGAUUUUGCUAGUCAAGGUACAGCAGCCCAUGGCUCCUACAAAUGAUGUGCAAGUGGAUUCUCAAAACAUGGUCUCCCAUGACAAGAGCAAUGUCUGUUCUUUGCCUCCAAGAAUCAUAUUUGUGUAGGUAAGAAACUGUAACCAUCAUGCUAGAAACAAAGUCACUUUUGUUAUAAUAAAUACUAUCCAUCUGGACUUACCAAGGAAAGGUGGAACUCAGCAUACUGUUUUUUCUACAUCUUACACUUGUAUUAUAAUUUAGUUUUAUUAUGAAAUCAAGCUUUCUGAUGCCAUGAGCCAGAUAAACCUGGAUAAAUUAGUAUUACAGUUAA